rnacentral:sRNA from 1 species
UGUAAACCAAUCCGAAUACCCAUGUUGC